GCGUUGUCCGGAAUUAUUGGGCGUAAAGAGCGUGUAGGCGGUCCGGUAAGUCAGCUGUGAAAGUCAAGGGCUCAACCCUUGAAAGCCGGUUGAUACUGUCGGGCUAGAGUCCGGAAGAGGCGAGUGGAAUUCCCGGUGUAGCGGUGAAAUGCGCAGAUAUCGGGAGGAACACCAAUGGCGAAGGCAGCUCGCUGGGACGGUACUGACGCUGAGACGCGAAAGCGUGGGGAGCAAACAGG
rnacentral:rRNA from 1 species